ensembl:lncRNA
GACGUCAGCGCCCACCCCUCCUCAGGCAGCUCCCAUCACCCUCCUGCUAAAGUUUCCGCCGCCUUUUAUUCCUCUCCAGCCCGCCCUCAUCCUGGCGAAGAGCUCCCUUUAGACACCCGGAUAGUUGCCCCCGCCGGCAUUAACCAACGGGCACACGAAGCUCUUGAUUUUCGUUGCGCGCCAGCCUCUGGCGGCGCCCGCAGAGCCCGGACGGAAAGGGCCGCCGGGGAUGGGGAGGAGGGACGGCUCCCCRCGCCUCGCACCUCUCCGGCAGCGGGCGCCGGCUUGGCAGCGCUCCCGUCCUCCUGCCCUUCUCCCCCGCGGGGCACCGGCGCGCACCAGGCUCGGCCCCGCCGGAGGGGGUGGGGGGUUGAGGAUGGGGAGCCCGCGGGCGCCUUCACUGAGGCCACCGACCCCAUCGAGCUGCCCUCCUCCCCGGGCGUCCCCGGCUGGSUCCGAGCCGCCAUCCCGGCCCCCAAGCAGCCCACGAGGGACGGCUCCGGGAUAACUCUUAAAACCCCCCCUUGGCCGGAUGCCUUCCCCCCCCCCCGCAGGCCCCCGGUCCGGACCCCGCACCGGUCCGCUUCCUCCUCUGCCCUCUCCUCGCACUGGCCACCGAGAGCAGACCCGGCUGGGAGCGAUGGCGAAGCAAGGACCCACCGGGCUGGCGAAAUCCUGAAAACAAAGAAAACGAGCCAGACCAGCACUCGGUCAUGGGGCAGAGGGAACGGCCUUUCCACCUGGGAGAUACCACCGACACACACGGACGUGGCCGUGUUUCCAAGCAGAAAAAAGGGCCGGGCCGGGCCGGGUCGGCGCACCUCCCCGCGUGCUGCCUGUGAACCCGCCGGGACGUGGGGACAGGUAUCUGGAGAAGUGCGUUUCAUGCUCCUCACAUGGAGGCUGUAGCUUGGUCGGCUCACACAGGGAGCCAGGAGAGACAACACAACGCUUUUCAGCACUUCAGCCACAUGGGAAUUUUGCCACCCCAAAGAUGAGACUCAAGGUAAUGGAUUUUGUCCUUGAUGGUGGCAACAGCAAAAUUCAGUGUGAACACUAGGGGCCAAGCAGACUCGGAGAUGGCAGCUGGGGAAAUGCUAGAGGUCACUGGGAUAUCAGAGAAUUGUGGUGCAUAUAUGGCUUCACUGUUAAUAAUAUUAUUUACAGUGGGAGAGACAAGAACAAUAUUAAACACCUGUCUGCAUGCAAAGAUGCUUUUGGUUCAUGACUGGCUGAAGCAGUCAGCCGGGGAAUCUUUAUUUGUCUAACGAGAAAUUAGCAGCCCAACCUUGGAGCAGGGGGUGCUCAGGCUGGGUUGCACGGAGGUGAACAGCAUCCUGUGAGAGCAGGACAAGCACAGGCAACAUGGGAUAAAGCAGGGACCUUCAGGAAAGUUUCUUUUUUUUCCCUCUACAAAAUUUUGCCAGGACACUCACAGCUUUAUCCGGGGAUCAUUUGACAGGUCACAUGCCUUCACAGCCUAUACAUAUGAAAUAGGUGGGUUUUCCCCCAAAUGUACAACUUCAAACUUCUGCUAGUGUAGAGAUGAACUCAACCUUUAGAGUCUUACUGAUGCAGUGUUGCUAUUACAGAAAUUUGCUGUUGGGUUUGAUGCAGGCUGCGGUCCCAGCUGGGUUUAGAGCUCCGCUGUGCCAGAUGCUGCAAAUGCACGGAAGAGAGAGGGACCUUCCAGGACUACAUGCUCCAGACCCACAGGGUUUUAUAUUUUAAUAGACAAAAGCAGCAAGUGGCGGAAGAAAAGGAAAAGUGUUGUCUCUGUUCAGCCAGUAAGAUCAGGUGACUUGCCCAAAGUUACCCAGCAGAAAUGGGAAUUCAACCUGAGUCUUCCCAGCGCCAGUCCCGCAUCUCGCCAACGUGCUUGGUCCCCUCUCCCAGGGAGGGAAAACACGCUGAUCCCUUCUGUAUCACCUUCAUACUGCAGGAGACAGUAAGGACAGGCAACCUCCACCUUUCCUUGCUGCUCUUGAAGAUCGCACCCUUCUCUUGGUUCAGCCACAUCACACCAGUUACCAAGCCCUGACUCCAGCCUUGGUCCUCGCAGCCCCAGCAAAGUGCUCGGCUGCACAGCCCAGGCAGCAGCAACAGCUUCUCUCUCUGCAGGUUUCGUUGGAACUAAAUUUCAAACCAUGCAACUUUUGCUCCAAAUCAAAGACACUUUGGAAAGAAAAUCAAUACUUUUCAGAGGGGAAAAAUAGGCAAAAAUUCUCAUUUAAUGAGUCUGUAUUUUUAUGUAUUUUGCAAACCCUGGAAGUAAGCAUCUUCCUGCUGACUACAAUCAACUUUGAGAGAUGAGGAGCAGAUUUUUCUGGAGUUCUCCAUUCCCCUAUGAAAUGUGUGUCUAGAAGGGGGAGGGGAGUAGAAAACAGCUGGCAGUUUAGAUGAAAAAUGUAUUGAAUAUGCUAAGCAUGUGAUUAUCAAAGGUUCAUAACUCAGUCGAAUCAAAACCAAUUUCUUUCAGAACAAUGAGACACACUUCUCAAUGAAGGCUCUUCCCAGGCCAAAUUUCAUCUUUCAGAAAUAACAUGCUGUAAGUACUUCUUGUAUAAUAAUAAAAAUAAAAAAAGGACUUAUUUUACUGCCUUC